rnacentral:lncRNA from 1 species
AGAAAACUACCCAAAAGCCAUAACAUUUGUGGCAAGCGUUCCCCGAACCUUCAUAUCUGACUUGAGCGUCGGAGGGUUUGCGCCGGGAAAACAACCGGCGUACUCUGACCUGUCUGUGUGCGCAGGAACCUCUGGAGAAGAAGCUUUACGAGGAGAGAUCCUGGUCGUGGUGAAGUUGAUCGAGCAGAGACCCUGGUCGUAGAACGAGGAC